CACGUAGGGACCAAGCGUUGUCCGGAUUCAUUGGGCGUAAAGAGCUCGUAGGCGGUUCGAUAAGUCGGGUGUGAAACCUCCAGGCUCAACCUGGAGACGCCACCCGAUACUGUCGUGACUAGAGUCCAGUAGGGGAGCGUGGAAUUCCUGGUGUAGCGGUGAAAUGCGCAGAUAUCAGGAGGAACACCCGUGGCGAAGGCGGCCCUCUGGCUCGACCCUGACGCUGAGAGGCGAAAGCGUGGGGAGCGAACGGG
rnacentral:rRNA from 1 species